GACGAACGCUGGCGGCGUGCCUAAUACAUGCAAGUCGAGCGGACAGAAGGGAGCUUGCUCCCGGAAGUUAGCGGCGGACGGGUGAGUAACACGUGGGCAACCUACCCUGUAGAUCGGGAUAACAUCGAGAAAUCGGUGCUAAUACCGGAUAAUCAUUUGAAGUGCAUGCUUCGAAUGUAAAAGAUGGCUCCGGCUAUCACUACGGGAUGGGCCCGCGGCGCAUUAGCUAGUUGGUAAGGUAAUGGCUUACCAAGGCAACGAUGCGUAGCCGACCUGAGAGGGUGAUCGGCCACACUGGGACGGAGACACGGCCCAGACUCCUACGGGAGGCAGGAGUAGGGAAUCUUCCGCAAUGGACGAAAGUCUGACGGAGCAACGCCGCGUGAGUGAUGAAGGUUUUCGGAUCGUAAAGCUCUGUUGGUAGGGAAGAACAAGUGCCGUUUGAAUAAGGCGGCACCCUGACGGUACCUAACCAGAAAGCCACGGCUAACUACGUGCCAGCCGCCGCCGUAAAAC
rnacentral:rRNA from 1 species